GUGCUCACUUUGGUAGCACAAACACUAAAAUUGGAAUGAUACAUAGAACAUUACCUGGGCCCCCUCCACAAGGAUGGCAUGCGAAUUCAUGAAACGUUUUAUAUUCAA